rnacentral:rRNA from 1 species
UAGGGAAUAUUGCAAAAUGGGCGAAAGCCCGAUGCAGCAACGCCGCGUGGGCGAUGGAGGCCUUCGGGUCGUAAAGCCCUUUUUGAGGGGAUGAGGAAGGACAGUACCCUCAGAAUAAGCCUCGGCUAACUACGUGCCAGCAGCCGCGGUAAUACGUAGGGAGCAAGCGUUGUCCGGAUUUACUGGGUGUAAAGGGUGCUCAGGCGGAUUUGUAAGUCAGAGGUGAAAUCUCACAGCUUAACUGUGAAACUGCCUUUGAUACUGCAAGCCUAGAGUAUGGAAGAGAGUGAUGGAAUAUCUGGUGUAGCAGUGAAAUGCGUAGAUAUCAGAUAGAACACCAAUGGCGAAGGCAGUCACUUGGUCCAUUACUGACGCUAAAGCACGAAAGCGUGGGUAGCAAACA